GAUGAAGAACGUAGCGAAUUGCGAUAAGUAAUGUGAAUUGCAGAAUUCAGUGAAUCAUCGAAUCUUUGAACGCACAUUGCGCCCGGUAGUAUUCUGCCGGGCAUGCCUGUUCGAGCGUCAUUUCAACCAUCAAGCCCCAGCGCUUGUGUUGGGGGCCUGCGGCUGCCGCAGCCCCCUAAAAGCAGUGGCGGGCUCGCUAUCACACCGAGUGCAGUAGUUCAUCUUCUCUCCGGUCUUGUGAGGCGGGUUCCGGCCGUGAAACACCCCACUACAUUCAAGGUUGACCUCGGAUCAGGUAGGAAUACCCGCUGAACUUAAGCAUAUCAAUAAGCGGAGGA
rnacentral:misc_RNA from 1 species